UACGUAGGGUGCGAGCGUUAAUCGGAAUUACUGGGCGUAAAGCGUGCGCAGGCGGUUCGUUGUGUCUGAUGUGAAAGCCCCGGGCUUAACCUGGGAAUGGCAUUGGAAACUGGCGAGCUGGAGUGUGGCAGAGGGGGGUGGAAUUCCACGUGUAGCAGUGAAAUGCGUAGAUAUGUGGAGGAACACCGAUGGCGAAGGCAGCCCCCUGGGUUAACACUGACGCUCAUGCACGAAAGCGUGGGGAGCAAACAGG
rnacentral:rRNA from 1 species